GUCUCUGUCAAAGCUGGAGACCAACCUCAGCCCAGAACACCUGCAGACUCGCUCGCCACAGCAUCUGACUGCAAAAUGCAAACUGAUUCGGCAAGCACGUUAAGUUUUCUGACUUCAUCGCUUGGAAACCUCGAAGCAGCUGAUCCAGUUUACUCCCACAUUCCAAAGAAAGCAUGGUGACCCUUGCAUGCUGUGCCCAGUACACAGAAGGGCUGUGUCCAUCUUCGAAACAAGGUAAAGUUGGAACAAUCUGCGAAGGGAUGCAAGAAAACAACUCGAGCAGUGGGGUACCGUCCCAUCGAAAACUCAACAGCAGGAUAUGAUCCCAUUCAAACUUAAACAACAGGAAACAAUCCCAUCCAAAGCCAAGCAGCAGGAUAUGAUCCCAUUCAAACUCAAACGGUCUUCCUCCCAUUCUUCUCUGCAGUUUCAAACUCACUUGCAUUUCUGAGUUUCUCACAAAUGCUGCCUGACUUAUCAAUAUACCAACUAGUGCUCUAUUGAGUACAUUCACAAGGGGCGCUACCAAGAGAAAGCAGUAUCCAUCAUCAAAGACCCUCACCAUCCAGGCCUUGUUAAUGCAUUGUUUAUUGUAAGUUCUAUUAUACUUUAUUUUCCUGUAAAUCCUUGCAAGAAAAUGGACCUUAAGGUUGUAUA